UGCAUCGGGUACGGGCAGACUAGAGUGCGGUAGGGGUGACUGGAAUUCCUGGUGUAGCGGUGGAAUGCGCAGAUAUCAGGAGGAACACCGAUGGCGAAGGCAGGUCACUGGGCCGCAACUGACGCUGAGGAGCGAAAGCAUGGGGAGCGAACAGGAUUAGAUACCCUGGUAGUCCAUGCCGUAAACGUUGGGCACUAGGUGUGGGGCUCAUUCCACGAGUUCCGUGCCGCAGCAAACGCAUUAAGUGCCCCGCCUGGGGAGUACGGCCGCAAGGCUAAAACUCAAAGGAAUUGACGGGGGCCCGCACAAGCGGCGGAGCAUGCGGAUUAAUUCGAUGCAACGCGAAGAACCUUACCAAGGCUUGACAUACACCGGAAACUUCCAGAGAUGGUUGCCCCGCAAGGUCGGUGUACAGGUGGUGCAUGGUUGUCGUCAGCUCGUGUCGUGAGAUGUUGGGUUAAGUCCCGCAACGAGCGCAACCCUCGUCUUAUGUUGCCAGCACGUUAUGGUGGGGACUCAUAAGAGACUGCCGGGGUCAACUCGGAGGAAGGUGGGGAUGACGUCAAAUCAUCAUGCCCCUUAUGUCUUGGGCUUCACGCAUGCUACAAUGGCCGGUACAAAGGGCUGCGAUACCGCGAGGUGGAGCGAAUCCCAAAAAGCCGGUCUCAGUUCGGAUUGGGGUCUGCAACUCGACCCCAUGAAGUCGGAGUCGCUAGUAAUCGCAGAUCAGCAACGCUGCGGUGAAUACGUUCCCGGGCCUUGUACACACCGCCCGUCAAGUCACGAAAGUCGGUAACACCCGAAGCCGGUGGCCCAACCCUUGUGGAGGGAGCUGUCGAA
rnacentral:rRNA from 1 species